AAUAACGCCGUUUAUAACCAACACUAUCGCGCCGUCAAAUUUCAAAUUCCACACUUCCAACGGCUACUUUUAACUUCAAACCAGACAAUGAAACAAACCCAUCUUCACCUUUCGUUUUACCCUUCAUUCUGAAUCGUUCUCUUUCUCCCUUUCAAGUAUCUAGCACGUUGUUCAGAGCCACGAAUCAGAGAAACAAUCUCCAAAGACUAGGGCUAAUGGCUAAGGCUAAGCUAACUCCUCCAUCAAUGGCGAAGAAGUUAUAGUCUUUCUCACUACCAGGUAUAUUCCUUCCUUUCCUGAAGUUGAGAGAAAAAUGAACACUGAAAGGGUUUAUGUAGAGCUUGAUGAAGCUAAAGCUGAGAUUGAGAAGCUCCGGGUGGAGAAUAAAAGCAAAGCAGAAGUAUCUGAAAACUUGAAGAGGUCUUACAAUGAGCAACUCAAGAAAGCCCAGGAAGUGAGUUCGAAAAUUGAGAAGCAGGCUCAAGAAAUUAAUGAGAAGGCAGAGGAACUCACUGUGUUGAAGCAAAUGUUUGAAGAUGUUCGAUGUAGUUUGAAUGAAAAGGAGUCCGUCAUCAGGCGUCUAAAUACUGCAAAUGAGAAAAUUCAAGUUGAUUGUGAUGAGAAAUUCAGGAAAUGGGAAGAGGAAAAUAAAGGCCUGAUCUUGGCUUUAGAGAAGGCAAAUGAGAAGAAUGUGGAUCAAGAGCAACUAAUUCAUUCUUGCCAAGACCAAAUUGAAGUCCUUAAAGGGUGUUUAUCAGUUUUGCAGAAGAAAUGCUUUGAAGUAGAGAAGAAAGCAAAGGGAGCCAAAGAAGCAGGAGAAAGAGAGAAUGUGCUAUUCAAACUAGAGGAGGACAAGAGGAAGAUCGAAGAGCAGCUCAAAUGGAAAAAGGAGCAAUUUACGCAUCUAGAAGAAGCACAUGGAAAGAUGCGAGACCAGUUCAAGGCAAGUAAGAAGGAGUGGGAUCUAGAGAAGUCUUCUUUGAUUGAUGAGAUAUGUUCACUGCAAACAAGGCUAGAUUCUCAAACUAGAAUGUCAGAAGAUCUUCAAAACCGGUUGCAAAUGUGUAACCAAGCGCUGGCUCAUGAGGAAAGCCGAAGAAAGUAUCUUGAAGUUCAAUUUUCUGAGGUUCAGAGCAGAUUUGACAAUGUUUUCAAUGAUUACCAGGAUGCAAAAUCCCAACUAGAAUGCUUCACUGAGAAGAGGAACGAAGAAAUUGCAUCUCUAAGACAUGCACUUGAAAAAAAGGAGAUACUUCUUAAAGAGAUGGAAUAUCAGAAAAGACAAAUGGAGCAAGAAAUGCAGGAGGUACAGGUUUCACUAAAAGAAUUUCAGGAAGCUCUAAUCCAAAAGGCUUCAGGUUCACCUUCUGUGGCAAAGUUGCGAAACAAGCUCAAAUGUUCAGAGCUGAUGCACAAAGAAUCUACUGAAAAUCUGAAGGCUAGAGACGCUGAAUUGAAGUCCCAGCUUGAAACAUUGACACAGGAAUUGGAAAAUUGUGGGUCUCAGUUGGAAAGUAAGGACACAAUGUUGAAGGAGCUCAGGAUGGAGUUGGAGCAAGUACGUGAAGACUUUUCUGUAAAUCUCAAGGCUAAAGAAGGUGUGUGGAACUCUCAACUGGAAAAAGUUAUAAAUGAUUUGAGCAAUUGUAUGGCUCAGCUAGAGAGUAGAGAUGAAACCAUAAAACAGCUCAGGGUGGAGUUGAAUCAGAUCCGUGGAGACUCUGCAGCAAGUAUCAAGGCUCAAGAAGAUGAAUGGAUACACCAGCUAGAAAAUAAAGAUGCAAUGUUAAAGGAGCUAAGGAUGGAGUUGGAGAAAAUGCGUGAAGACUUCACUACAAACCUUAAGGUUAAAGAAGAUGAAAGGAACUCUCAACUGGAAAAGGUUACAAAUGAUUUGAGCAACUGUAGGUCUGUGUUAGCAAGUAGAGAUGCAACUUUAAAAGAGCUCAAGGUGGAGUUAGAACAGAUCCAUGGAGACUCUACAGCAAAUAUCAAGGCUCAAGAAGCUGAACGGAAGUACCAACUGGAAAUGAUGGCAGGAGAUCUCAACAUGUGUAGGUCUCAGUUAGAGAGUAAAGAUGAAAAGAUUAAGAAGCUCAAGAUAGAAAUGGAGCAAAUGGAUGAAGUCCAUUCUGCAAGUCUCAUAGAUAAAGAAGCUGAAAUGAAUUCUCUACUGGAAAAUGUUACAAGUGACCUAAACCACUGUAGGUCUGAGUUAGCAAGUAGAGAUGCAACGAUAAAAGCACUGAGAAUGGAGUUGGAACAGACCCAAGGAGAUUUUCUUGCAAAUUUCAAGGCUAAAGAAGCUGAAUGGAGGUACCAUUUGGAAAUGAUGACAGGAGAUCUCAACAAGUGUAGGUCUCAGCUAGAUAGUAAAGAUGCAAGACUGAAGAAACUACGAAUGGACUUGGAAGAGUGUCGCUGUAUAAGCUUGCAGCAGAAUGAGGAGAUUUCUGUGAUGUUAUUGGUGUUAAAAGACGUUAUCUCUGAGGCGCAAAUGAAGUUUGCAGAUGAAAAGGCUCAAAUAGACCAGACUGAAAAAGAGAAUGAACGGAAUAUUUCCCUAUUGAUGCAGCAGCUGGAGACGAAGAAUGCUACCAUUGAGAGAUUACAGAAAGAUAUUGAGAAGGAGCAUGAGAAUGUUGCAUCUUUGUUGAGAAGAGGUGAGACAUUGGAUGCCAUUGGUCAGCAGCAGCUUUUAAUGCAGAAAGAUCUUGAGCAGUAUGAGGAAAUGAUCGUGGAAUCAUUUGUGUGUGAGAUCUUCUUAAGAGAACAAAUUUUGCAAAUGGAAAGUGUUUUGAAAAAGAAACUGAGGGAAUUAUGCAUCGAACUAGACAUAACACACACUGAGCUGGCUGAGAAAAUCUGUGAAGGGAAUGAAAUUGAAUUUGAACUGUACAUAUGGAGAUCAGUUGCCAAAGGCUUAUUGGUUGAUCAUGAAGAAAACUAUGAAAUGCGUAAAGAGUUAGAAGCUUCUCUUCUUUCACAAGUAGAUGUUGGGGAAAUCACCAAGCAAGAAAAACAGCAUCUUCAGUGUAUGCUGGAACAGAAAGAUGAUAGAAUAUAUAAACUCCAGCACCAGGUGGAGUUACUAGAGCAGAAUCUCAAAACAAGAGAAGCUGCUGCUAACUCAGCUGAGAUGAAAACAGCCAUGUCCUUGGAGUCAGAGAAAGCAAGCUUUCUCCAAACGAUAAGAGAGAAGGAUAAGAUCCUAGAGCAGCUCCAGAAAGAAGUUGAAUGGCUGGAGCAAGAAUCAUUGAGAAGAGAACUUGAGGAAGUUUUGCUCUCAAGAAUUGUAGCAGAAAGAACAGUUGAGCAUGAAAAAGAGCUUAUGGAACAGAAGAACCAGAGAAUAAAUGAGUUGAUGCAGCUUGUGGGAUCAUUUGAAGAUAAAUUUAAUAACUCGUUAAUUUCUUUCUCUUCAGAGCUCGCCAAGAAACAGGCAGAGAUUAAUCUGACACAUAAAGCGUGGGAGAAAAUAACUGCUGCCCAGAUUAUGGCUGCACUAGAAAUUGAAGAGAAGAAGCUUAUGAUUGCUGAACUUGAGGAUGACAUCCAUAAUGUAAAGCAGAAACUGGAACUGCAGCAAAACUCCAUGUGUGUUUUGAAGAGGCAAGCAGUUGAAGUUGAAGCAAAAUUGGAGGCAAAAGAGUUGGAAAUGAAGAAUAUGGGGUUUCAAUUCAAGACAAAGCUGAAAGAGUCAGAUGCUUUGAUUGAAGAGCUCAAGAGUGAGAGAAGAAACUUACUUGAAGAUGUCACUAAGUUAUCAUCAGAAAGAGAAAACUUGUUGGGAUUGGUUGAGGGGUUGAGUGACAAGAUUAGUGAGAUCUCCAGUUCAGACAAACAACUAAUGGAUCUGUUACAGACAACAAUGCCCUCUACUGAGGAUGAACACUCUAGCUAUCUGAGUGAGAAUGUGAAUAGUCCCAUUGCAGUGAAGAAACUUGAAGCAAAUUCUGACAUAAGAUCCCCAUUUAGAGAAAUCAACAACUAGAAACAUCUAUCUUGCUCAUGGAUAAAGGAAUGUUGCUGAUCUUGUAGUGUAGUAAAACUGGGUCGAAGUUUGUACCUGUAGUCCUCACUCAUUCUAUGUCGGUGAAGCUUGAUAAUCUCAAUUUCUUGAUGCGGCGAUAGCAAGUCCAAGCCCUACGAUUCGUGGUCAUAAUCUACAACAAUUCAUUUUGGAUAAUGCAAGUCCGCCAUUGAUGUACAUUGAUGAAGCUGCUCGUGCUCAAGGAAAAGUUAGUCGAGAAUUCUUGGACUGGGAUCAGCAAGAUCAAUUGUUACUUUUUUGGCUUCUUUUGUCCAUGUCUGAGUCAAUAAUCACGAGAGUGGUGAGUUGUGAAACUUCUUUACAAGAUUGGAGAACACUUAACGAGUAUUUUACUUCUCAAACAAAAGCUAGACUAGAUCAGCUUAAAUCUCAGUUACUGAGUACAAAGAAACUCUCUAUGUCCAUUAAU